ACAUGAAGCUGGAAUCGCUAGUAAUCGCGAAUCAGAAUGUCGCGGUGAAUACGUUCCCGGGUCUUGUACACACCGCCCGUCACACCAUGGGAGCCGGAAAUGCCCGAAGCCAGUGACCCAACCUUAGGGAGGGAGCUGUCGAAGGUGGAGCCGGUAACUGGGGUGAAGUCGUAACAAGGUAUC
rnacentral:rRNA from 1 species